UACAGAGGGGGCAAGCGUUGUUCGGAAUUACUGGGCGUAAAGGGCGCGUAGGCGGCCUGUUAAGUCGAACGUGAAAUCCCCGGGCUCAACCCGGGAACUGCGUCCGAUACUGGCAGGCUUGAAUCCGGGAGAGGGAUGUGGAAUUCCAGGUGUAGCAGUGAAAUGCGUAGAUAUGCGGAGGAACACCGAUGGCGAAGGCAAUCCCCUGGGCCUGCACUGACGCUCAUGCACGAAAGCGUGGGGAGCAAACAGG
rnacentral:rRNA from 1 species